rnacentral:rRNA from 1 species
CCUACGGGGUGCAGCAGUGAGGAAUAUUGGUCAAUGGACGCAAGUCUGAACCAGCCAUGCCGCGUGCAGGAAGACGGCUCUAUGAGUUGUAAAUUGCUUUUGUACGAGGGUAAACGCAGAUACGCGUAUCUGUCUGAAAGUAUCGUACGAAUAAGGAUCGGCUAACUCCGUGCCAGCAGCCGCGGUAAUACGGAGGAUUCAAGCGUUAUCCGGAUUUAUUGGGUUUAAAGGGUGCGUAGGCGGUCGGAUAAGUUAGAGGUGAAAUCCCGAGGCUCAACUUCGGAAUUGCCUCUGAUACUGUUAGGCUAGAGAGUAGUGGAGGUAGGCGGAAUGUAUGGUGUAGCGGUGAAAUGCUUAGAGAUCAUACAGAACACCGAUUGCGAAGGCAGCUUACCAAGCUACUUCUGACGUUGAGGCACGAAAGCGUGGGGAGCAAACAGGAUUAGAUACCCCGGUAGUC